rnacentral:rRNA from 1 species
AACGAACGCUGGCGGCAUGCCUAACACAUGCAAGUCGAACGAAACCUUCGGGUCUAGUGGCGCACGGGUGCGUAACGCGUGGGAACCUGCCCUUAGGUUCGGAAUAACUCCCCGAAAGGGGUGCUAAUACCGGAUAAUGUCUUCGGACCAAAGAUUUAUCGCCCUUGGAUGGGCCCGCGUUGGAUUAGCUAGUUGGUAGGGUAAAAGCCUACCAAGGCGACGAUCCAUAGCUGGUCUGAGAGGAUGAUCAGCCACACUGGGACUGAGACACGGCCCAGACUCCUACGGGAGGCAGCAGUGGGGAAUAUUGGACCAUGGGCGAAAGCCUGAUCCAGCAAUGCCGCGUGAGUGAUGAAGGCCUUAGGGUUGUAAAGCUCUUUUACCCGGGAUGAUAAUGACGGUACCGGGAGAAUAAGCUCCGGCUAACUCCGUG